rnacentral:rRNA from 1 species
UACGUAGGGGGCUAGCGUUGUCCGGAAUCAUUGGGCGUAAAGCGCGUGUAGGCGGUUCGGUAAGUCCGCUGUGAAAGUCGGGGGCUCAACCCUCGAAUGCCGGUGGAUACUGUCGGACUAGAGUACGGAAGAGGCGAGUGGAAUUCCUGGUGUAGCGGUGAAAUGCGCAGAUAUCAGGAGGAACACCAAUUGCGAAGGCAGCUGGCUACACAAAUAUUGACACUGAGGCACGAAAGCGUGGGGAUCAAACAGG